rnacentral:rRNA from 1 species
UACGAAGGGGGCUAGCGUUGCUCGGAAUCACUGGGCGUAAAGGGUGCGUAGGCGGGUUAUUAAGUCAGAGGUGAAAUCCUGGAGCUCAACUCCAGAACUGCCUUUGAUACUGAUAGUCUUGAGUAUGGGAGAGGUGAGUGGAGCUGCGAGUGUAGAGGUGAAAUUCGUAGAUAUUCGCAAGAACACCAGUGGCGAAGGCGGCUCACUGGCCCAUUACUGACGCUGAGGCACGAAAGCGUGGGGAGCAAACAGG